rnacentral:rRNA from 1 species
GUUCGUUCCAUAAACCAGAUUAUGAACGCUGGCGGGAUGCUUUACAUGCAAGUCGAACGGCAGCACGGACUGAUCUGGUGGCGAGUGGCGACGGUGAGUAAUGUAUCGGAACGUGCCCAGUAGCGGGGGUCUUCAAAGCGUAGCUAAUACCACAUACGCCCUUCGGAGGAAAGCGGGGGACCUUCGGGCUCGCACUAUUGAAACGGCCGAUAUCAGUUGGCCAGUUGGUGGGAACUGGCUCGCCAGGCGGCGAUCUGCGUAGCUGGUUUGAGGGGACGACCAGCCACGCUGGGACUGGACAGACUCUACGGGAGGCAGCAGUGGGGAAUUUUGGACAAUGGGGAAACCCUGAUCCAGCCAUCCCGCGUGUGCGAUGAAGGCCUUCGGGUUGUAAAGCACUUUUUUGGCAGGAAAAACAGCUGCGGGAUAAUACCCGAUACAGCGCUGGCGACUUCUGCAGAAUAAGCACUGGCUAACUGCGUGCCAGCAGCCGCAUUAUUACGUAGGGUGCAAGCGAUUAAUCGGAAUUACUGGGCGUAAAGCGUGCAUAUGGUGGUUCGGAAAGAAGAUGUGAAAUCCCAGAGCUUAACUUUGGAACUGCAUUUUUAACUACAGAGCUAAAGUGUGUCAGAGGAGGUGGAAUUCAUGUAUGUAGCAGUGAAAUGCGUAGAUAUGCGGAGGAACACCGAUAGCGAAGGCAGCCUCCUGGGAUAACACUGACGCUCAUGCACAGCGUGUAAGGAGCAAACGGGAUUAGAUACCCUGGUAAGUCCCGCCUAAACGAUGUCAACUAGCUGUUGGGGCCUUCGGGCCUUGGUAGCGCAACUAACGCGUGAAGUUGACCGCCUGGGGAGAGCGUACGGUCGCAAGAUUAAAACUCAAAGGAAUUGACGGGGACCCGCACAAGCGGUGGAUGAUGUGGAUUAAUUCGCGGUAACGCGAAAAAAAUACCUACCCUUGACAUGUCUGGAAUCCCGAAGAGAUUUGGGAGUGCUCGCAAGAGAACCGGAACACAAGGUGCUGUGGCUGUCGUCAGCUCGUGUCGUGAGAUGUUGGGUUAAGUCCCGCAACAGGCGCAAUAUGUCAUUAGUUGCUACGAGGAGCAUCUAAUGAGACUGCCGGUGACAAACCGGAGGAAGGUGGGGAUGACGUCAAGUCCUCAUGGCCCUUAUGGGUAGGGCUUCACACGUCAUACAAUGGUCGGGACAGAGGGUCGCCAACCCGAGAGAGCCAAUCCCAGAAACCCGAUCGUAGUCCGGAUCGCGAUCGCUCGACUGCGUGAAGUCCGGAAUCGCUGUAGUAAUCGCGGAUCGGCAUGUCGCGGUGAAUACGUUCCCGGGUCUUGUACACACCGCCCGUCACACCACGCCGGUGGGUUUUACCAGAAGUAGUUAGCCUAACCGUAAGAGGCGAUUACCACGGUAAGUUGUGACUGGGGUGAAGUCGUAACAAGGCCAG